rnacentral:rRNA from 1 species
AUGGAGGAUCUCCCAGAGCCACUGCUUGCAGAGAUCGUCAAGAGGAUUACCAAGACAAGUGAUCUUAAUUCUCUUUCCCUCGUGUCGAAGCAGCUCUGUACCGUUGAGGCGGAGCACAGGGAUGCUAUCCGCGUUGGCUGUGGACUCGACCCUUCUACAGAAGCCAUGGUAUCGCUGUUCUCCCGGUUCCUCAAUUUGGCAAAAGUAGAGAUCAACUAUUCUGGAUGGAAGCCCAGCAACGGGGACCAGUUGAACAACCAAGGCCUCCGUGUUCUAUCUUCUCACUGCCCCUUCCUGUCCGAUCUUGCUUUAAGCUUCUGCUCAUACAUUGGUGACUCUGGUCUUGGUUAUCUAGCUGAUUGCAAAAAAUUGAGGUCGCUCAGGCUGGACCAUGCAUCAGCAGUCACUUCUACUGGGAUUUUCCGGGUGGCGGUUGGUUGCUGGUAUCUUUCGGUUCUCCACCUUGUUGACUGUACGGCAGUAGACACCAGGGAGUGGCUGGAGUACCUUGGGAGGUAUGGAUCACUGGGGGAACUUGUUGUUAAGGAUUGCGAUGGAAUCAGCCAGUAUGACCUUUUAAAGUUUGGCCCAGGAUGGUCGAAUCUCCAAAAGUUUGAGUUCGAGAUUAAUGGAAAUUACUGA